AGAAAGGGAGAGAGAGAGAGAGACAUCAGUAUGAGAGACACGCACGGAUCGCACGGAUCGGCUACCUUCUGCACGUACCCCACCCAGGGAUUGAACCUUGGCAGGUGCCCAGACCGGGAAUCAGACUCAAGACCUUUUGGUGCACAGGAUGACACUCCACACAGCUGAGCCACACUGGCCAGGGCUCUGCCACACUCUUUGAUACAGUUGUAUUUGCCCUGUUAACAAGUUUCCUGGUACUGCAGCAAAUACUGCAGAGUCCUGAGGAGUAUGCCUGGGACCUUCUCAAUGUGACACAAAUGCACUUGACUGGCAAGUUUCUCGACCUUGGCUGUACAUUAGAAUCACCGGGAGCUUUCAAAACCAGAGGCCAGGUUCACCCCUCCUAGAGAUUCUGGC